UUUAGAGGAAGUAAAAGUCGUAACAAGGUUUCCGUAGGUGAACCUGCGGAAGGAUCAUUAUUGAAAUAAACCUGAUGGGUUGUUGCUGGCUCUCUAGGGAGCAUGUGCACACCUUGUCAUCUUUAUAUUUCCACCUGUGCACCUUUUGUAGACCCUCCCAGGUCUAUGUUUGCUUCAUUUACCCCCGAUGUAUGUUAAUAGAAUGUUGUGCCUAUAAAAUAUAUACAACUUUCAGCAACGGAUCUCUUGGCUCUCGCAUCGAUGAAGAACGCAGCGAAAUGCGAUAAGUAAUGUGAAUUGCAGAAUUCAGUGAAUCAUCGAAUCUUUGAACGCACCUUGCGCUCCUUGGUAUUCCGAGGAGCAUGCCUGUUUGAGUGUCAUUAAUAUAUAUAUAUCAACCCCCUCUUGUUGAGCGGUUUGGAUGUGGAGGUUUUUGCUGGCCGCCUAGAAAGGGUUCAGCUCCUCUGAAAUACAUUAGCGGAACAAACCUGUCCAUUCAUUGGUGUGAUAACUAUCUACGCUAUUGAAUGUGAGGCAGUUCAGCUUUCUAACGGUCCUUUGGACAACCUAUCAUUUUUAUGUGACCUCAAAUCAGGUAGGACUACCCGCUGAACUUAAGCAUAUCAAUAAGCGGAGGAAAAGAAACUAACAAGGAUUCCCCUAGUAACUGCGAGUGAAGCGGGAA
rnacentral:rRNA from 1 species